rnacentral:rRNA from 1 species
GACGUAGGGCGCGAGCGUUGUCCGGAUUUAUUGGGCGUAAAGAGCUCGUAGGCGGCUUGUCGCGUCGACUGUGAAAAUCCCGCGGCUCAACCGCGGGUCUGCAGUCGAUACGGGCAGGCUAGAGUUCGGUAGGGGGAGACUGGAAUUCCUGGUGUAGCGGUGAAAUGCGCAGAUAUCAGGAGGAACACCGAUGGCGAAGGCAGGUCUCUGGGCCGAUACUGACGUGAGGAGCGAAAGCGUGGGGGAGCGAACAGG